rnacentral:rRNA from 1 species
UACGUAGGGUGCAAGCGUUAAUCGGAAUUACUGGGCGUAAAGCGUGCGCAGGCGGUUAUGUAAGACAGAUGUGAAAUCCCCGGGCUCAACCUGGGAACUGCAUUUGUGACUGCAUAGCUAGAGUACGGUAGAGGGGGAUGGAAUUCCGCGUGUAGCAGUGAAAUGCGUAGAUAUGCGGAGGAACACCGAUGGCGAAGGCAAUCCCCCGGACCUGUACUGACGCUCAUGCACGAAAGCGUGGGGAGCAAACAGG